AGAGGUGAAAUUCUUGGAUCGUCGCAAGACGAACUACUGCGAAAGCAUUUGCCAAGAAUGUUUUCAUUAAUCAAGAACGAAAGUUAGAGGUUCGAAGGCGAUCAGAUACCGCCCUAGUUCUAACCAUAAACGAUGCUGACUAGCGAUCCGCCGGCGUUAAUCCCAUGACUCGGCGGGCAGCUUCCCGGGAAACCAAAGUCUCUGAGUUCCGGGGGAAGUAUGGUUGCAAAGCUGAAACUUAAAGG
rnacentral:rRNA from 1 species